rnacentral:tRNA from 1 species
GCUUCUAAAGGAUAACAGCUCAUCCAUUGGUCUUAGGAACCAAAAACUCUUGGUGCCAAAAACUCUUGGUGCAAAUCCAAGUAGCAGCU